AUCGAACGCUAGCGGGAUGCUUUACACAUGCAAUUCGAACGGAGUGUCGGACGUGUGAGUAUUAUAUCGGAACUCGCCCAGUAGCGCGGGACACCCAUCCGAAAGAGUGGCUUAUACCGCAUUCUAGCGGAGCCGCCGAUAUCGGAUUAGCUAGUUGGUGGGGUAAACGCUCACAAAGGCAACGAUCCGUAGCUGGUUUGAGAGGACGACCAGCCACACUGGGACUGAGACACGGCCCAGACUCCUACGGGAGGCAGCAGUGGGGAAUUUUGGACAAUGGGGGAAACCCUGAUCCAGCCAUCCCGCGUGUAUGAUGAAGGCCUUCGGGUUGUAAAGUACUUUUGGCAGAGAAGCGGUAUCUGCAGAAUAAGCACCGGCUAACUACGUGCCAGCAGCCGCGGUAAUAC
rnacentral:rRNA from 1 species